rnacentral:rRNA from 1 species
GACGAACGCUGGCGGCGUGCUUAACACAUGCAAGUCGAACGGAAAGGCCCUGCUUUUGUGGGGUGCUCGAGUGGCGAACGGGUGAGUAACACGUGAGUAACCUGCCCUUGACUUUGGGAUAACUUCAGGAAACUGGGGCUAAUACCGGAUAGGAGCUCCUGCUGCAUGGUGGGGGUUGGAAAGUUUCGGCGGUUGGGGAUGGACUCGCGGCUUAUCAGCUUGUUGGUGGGGUAGUGGCUUACCAAGGCUUUGACGGGUAGCCGGCCUGAGAGGGUGACCGGCAAAAUUGGGCCUGGGUUACGGCCCAGAUCCUUCCGGAGGCAGCAGUGGGGAAUAUUGCACAAUGGGCGGAAGCCUGAUGCAGCAACGCCGCGUGCGGGAUGACGGCCUUCGGGUUGUAAACCGCUUUCGCCUGUGACGAAGCGUGAGUGACGGUAAUGGGUAAAGAAGCACCGGCUAACUACGUG